AAACUACAACUCUCUGGAUCCCUUGGGCCAUUUCUCGUUCCCAGUGCGAUCCUCAUCAGUUGUCGAAGAAG
rfam:Leishmania infantum JPCM5 genome chromosome 36